CGCAAGCCUGAUGCAGCCAUGCCGCGUGUAUGAAGAAGGCCUUCGGGUUGUAAAGUACUUUCAGCAGUGAGGAAGGCAGGUACGUUAAUAGCGUGCUUGUUUGACGUUAGCUGCAGAAGAAGCACCGGCUAACUCCGUGCCAGCAGCCGCGGUAAUACGGAGGGUGCGAGCGUUAAUCGGAAUUACUGGGCGUAAAGCGCAUGCAGGUGGUUUGUUAAGUCAGAUGUGAAAGCCCGGGGCUCAACCUCGGAAUUGCAUUUGAAACUGGCAGACUAGAGUACUGUAGAGGGGGGUAGGAAUUUCAGGUGUAGCGGUGAAAUGCGUAGAGAUCUGAAGGAAUACCGGUGGCGAAGGCGGCCCCCUGGACAGAUACUGACACUCAGAUGCGAAAGCGUGGGGAGCAAACAGGAUUAGAUACCCUGGUAG
rnacentral:rRNA from 1 species